UACGUAGGGUGCAGGCGUUAAUCGGAAUUACUGGGCGUAAAGCGUGCGCAGGCGGUUUGCUAAGACAGGUGUGAAAUCCCCGGGCUUAACCUGGGAACUGCGCUUGUAACUGGCAAGCUAGAGUGUGGCAGAGGGGGGUGGAAUUCCACGUGUAGCAGUGAAAUGCGUAGAGAUGUGGAGGAACACCGAUGGCGAAGGCAGCCCCCUGGGCUAACACUGACGCCCAUGCACGAAAGCGUGGGGAGCAAACGGG
rnacentral:rRNA from 1 species